rnacentral:rRNA from 1 species
CUGGGGGGGUCUAUUUUCGCUCCAAUGGCGAGGCAAAAGCCUUGAAUCGCAAGCCAACGCCGCGGUGCAGUGAUGAAGCCCUUCGGGUUUGUAAAGCUCUGUCGAGACAGGGGCCGAAAAAAAGUACCCGUUGCCUGGAAAAAAGAAAGCAUUGCGGGGCCUAAAUUUCCCCUUGGCCCAGGCUGGCCCCCCCCCGGUUAAUAUAAAA